AGCCGGGUCGUCUAGCGGCCAAGGAUGCGGGGCUUUGGAUAACCCCCGUGACCGGGGUUCGAAUCCCCGCCCGGCUACCA
rnacentral:tRNA from 1 species